CCAGCGAUUCAAUCGUUGGACUGCGAGAGAUACUGCCGAGCUANGGGGCGGGAGAAGCCGACGGUAUUUCCGGGGUAGGGGUAAAAUCCUAUAAUCCCGGGGAGACCACCAGUGGCGAAGGCGGUCGGCUAGAACGCGCUCGACGGUGAGGGACGAAAGCUGGGGGAGCGAACCGGAUUAGAUACCCGGGUAGUCCCAGCCGUAAACGAUGCGGGCUCAGUGUUGGAGCGGCUACGAGCCGCUUCAGUGCCGCAGGGAAGCCAUUAAGCCCGCCGCCUGGGGAGUACGGCCGCAAGGCUGAAACUUAAAGGAAUUGGCGGGGGAGCACUACAAGGGGUGAAGCUUGCGGUUUAAUUGGAGUCAACGCCGGGAACCUUACCGGGGGCGACAGCAGAAUGAAAGCCAGAUUGAAGGUCUUGCUGGACGAGCUGAGAGGAGGUGCAUGGCCGUCGCCAGUUCGUGCCGUGAGGUGUCCUGUUAAGUCAGGCAACGAUCGAGACCCACACCCUCUGUUGCUUCCGAGGAGUUUUCCAAGGGGCACUCUGAGGGGACUGCCGCCGAUAAGGCGGAGGAAGGAGUGGGCCACGGCAGGUCAGUAUGCCCCGAAUCCUCCGGGCCACACGCGAGCUGCAAUGGCUAGGACAGUGGGUUCCGACCUCGAGAGGGGAAGGCAAUCCCGAAACCCGGCCUCAGUUGGGAUCGAGGGCUGAAACCCGCCCUCGUGA
rnacentral:rRNA from 1 species